AGUCUAGCUACUAGACAUUUGAGCUGAAGCACAAGCCUUUCCUCUUGGAAUUGAUUUAGAACCCAAAGGAGGAGUUUCUAUCAUCAAUGCUAGCUGUACAUUCAAAUGCAUAUGCUUGUUUGAGAAGAAGCACAUCCCAUUACUAUUACAUGGCUAAAUCGGCUGCAUGGCAAGGAGAAAGUCGCAACUCCGCCAUGGACUUAUGUGGCGAUGGGAGUAGAGAGAUGGCAAUUCAUGCUGGUAGUGCUAUAAGGCCACGCCAGGGUUUGUGACAUUGCUGGGUGCCGGUCAUGGCCUGUGUGCGAUGUGGGCAUGAC